AUGUCUGGCUUCUCCAGCGUCGCCGCUACGAAGAAAGUGGUUCAACAGCUCCAGCUGGAGGCCGGGCUCAACAGCGUAAAAGUUUCCCAGGCAGCUGCAGACUUGAAACAAUUCUGUCUGCAGAAUGCUCAACAUGACCCUCUGCUGACUGGAGUAUCUUCAAGUACAAAUCCCUUCAGACCCCAGAAAGUCUGUUCCUUUUUGUAG
rnacentral:lncRNA from 1 species